rnacentral:rRNA from 1 species
UACGUAGGGUGCGAGCGUUAAUCGGAAUUACUGGGCGUAAAGCGUGCGCAGGCGGUUUUGUAAGCCAGAUGUGAAAUCCCCGGGCUUAACCUGGGAAUGGCAUUUGGGACUGCAAGGCUCGAGUGCGGCAGAGGAGACUGGAAUUCCUGGUGUAGCAGUGAAAUGCGUAGAUAUCAGGAGGAACACCGAUGGCGAAGGCAGGUCUCUGGGCUGACACUGACGCUCAUGCACGAAAGCGUGGGGAGCAAACAGGA